rnacentral:rRNA from 1 species
GACGAACGCUGGCGGCGUGCCUAAUACAUGCAAGUCGAACGGGGAAAGUAGCAAUACGAGUACUAGUGGCGCACGGGUGAGUAACGCGUGGGUAAUCUGCCUUGGAGUGGGGGAUAACCAGUCGAAAGACUGGCUAAUACCGCAUGAGACCACAGGAUCUGCGGAUCAAGGGGUCAAAGUUUUUCGCUCUAAGAUGAGCCCGCGUAAGAUUAGCUAGUUGGUGGGGUAAUGGCCUACCAAGGCGACGAUCUUUAACUGGUCUGAGAGGAUGAUCAGUCACACUGGAACGGAGACACGGUUCAGACGCCUACGGGAGGGAGCAGUAGGGAAUAUUGCGCAAUGGGCGAAAGCCUGACGCAGCGACGCCGCGUGAGUGAUGAAGGACUUCGGUUCGUAAAGCUCUGUUGCAAGGGAAAAAGAAAGUGAUUGUACCUUGUGAGGAAGGGUCGGCUAACUUCGUGCCAGCCGCCGCGGUAAGAC